ensembl:lncRNA
UGAUGCUGCACACACUACUCUGUCCUUGAUAAAUUUGUUUUAAUAACAAGAGGAUAAUAUUAACAGGAGGAAAAAAAAAUAAAAAGGUUCUGAGGUUAUUUUCCUGUUUUUAAGGAGCCACUGUUGCAUUGGUUGCUGUGUUUUGCAGUGGGUCCCUCAGCCAGGACCACCUACAACAUAGGGACAGCAGCACUGAGAUGAGCACAUUCAUGGGUGGCUGCUUAUGGGGCAGGAGCCGGGGAGGACCCUGCCAGGUUCCUCCAGCCACCACCCCACGAUGCUCAUAGCAUGCUGCCCCCUCACCUGUCACUGCCAGCUCCAAAGCAGCCCAGAGCCUUAGCAAAGGGCUGGGUGUCCCUUUCAGCUCUUACUGUGCAUUUGUAUCUCUUGUUUCAAGCAAGAGUUGAACAUACACUUGAUGCAGCUAAGGAAAACACAGGGAGCCAACAGCUGCUCCCUGCAGCAUGCACGGGCUUUACCUUUUAAGUAAGUAGAAAUGGAAACUGCAGCAUGCAAGUCUCCAGCAUAGUCUGAAGCCUCCACACAGAACAGCAGAGAAGGCCUUUAGUGCCAGCAAGAGGUUUUCAAAGCAGUGGGUGAAGCAGGGCUGGGAUGUGCCCUCUUGGAGUGGAGUGAACUCUUGGAGCUGCAGCAAGACCAUGGAUGCAGAUGCACCAUUGGCUGUGGACAGGCAGCACUCCCCAUGCACGAUGGAAACACGUCCCCAAGGUGCCCAGGACAGAAGGACUGUGAAGGUGAGAAGAAGAGUGGCAGCAUCAAGAAGCACAUGCAGCAUCAUGGGGCUCACCAAGGGGAAAUCUUCCAUACCCAGUCUAAUAGCCUUCCACAAUGAAAUGACUUGCUGUGUAGAUGAGAGAGCAGUGAGUGCUGUCUACCUUGACUUCAGCAAGGCUCUUGACACAGUUCCCUCUAACAUCCUCAUAGGUAAGCACAGGAAGCAUCCGUUGAUACUGUUGCUUGUCUGUUUUCUGGAGAAAAUGCACAGGACACAGUUAUCAAAGCACAGAGUGUCAGGGCAAGGUGUGCAGCACAACCAGGCAUUCUAUACGGGAUGCUGUGAGAAUAAAUAACUUCAAGAAAUUUUGGAGAGCCUUUUUGCUGGUCUUCUUCUCCACAAAAUUGUGCAGCCCAAUCCAAGAGGGCAAACCCCCUGCCAGUAAGAGAAUGAUAUACUCUGAAAGGGCCUGCAGAGUUCAGGAACAUCUUAGUUACUUAAGCAAGCUCCUGCAUCGCCCACAAGCUUUUCAGCAGCUGAAGGGGAGCACAAACUUUUGCAGCAAAGCAUCUACAAAUCUUACUCUUAGAGCUGGAGUUCUGAAAUAAUAUUUCUGGAUUAACACAAGCUCUCAAAAUAAAAUAUAUAUAUAUAUAUAUUAUGUGCUUAACAAGUUACCUGUCAUCUGAUAGGUUAUGAUGGCAAAAAUCUUCCAGAAUUGAGUUGACCUUAAUGCAUAAAUGUAGAAAGCAGUGUAGGGGAGACACGGUGAAAUUGCAAGCUUUUUGUGACUGUUUGCUCUCAAAACACUGUGACUGGUUCUACACCUGAAAGCCACUAAAUGUAUUUGUUGUUUGAUAUUUUUUAAGUGCCGUUAUGCCUGAGAGGUGUUAAUGGCUCAUCCAUUAGUUGUGACCCAGACUUCACAGCUUCACC